GUAAUACGGGGGAUGCAAGCGUUAUCCGGAAUUAUUGGGCGUAAAGCGUCCCGAGGUGGCUUACCUAGUCGACUGUGAAAGCUCAAGGCUUAACCUUGAAACUGCAGUCGAAACUUGUAAGCUUGAGUACGGUAGAGGCAGAGGGAAUUCCCGGAGGAGAGGUGAAAUUCGUAGAUAUCGGGAGGAAGGCCAAAGGCGAAAGCACUCUGCUGGGCCGAUUACUGACACUAACAGACGAAAGCUAGGGGAGCGAAAGGG
rnacentral:rRNA from 1 species